rnacentral:rRNA from 1 species
UACGUAGGGGGCGAGCGUUGUCCGGAAUCAUUGGGCGUAAAGCGCGUGUAGGCGGCCCGGUAAGUCCGCUGUGAAAGUCCAGGGCUCAACCCUGGGAUGCCGGUGGAUACUGUCGGGCUCGAGUCCGGAAGAGGCGAGUGGAAUUCCUGGUGUAGCGGUGAAAUGCGCAGAUAUCAGGAGGAACACCAAUGGCGAAGGCAGCUCGCUGGGACGUGACUGACGCUAAGACGCGAAAGCGUGGGGAGCAAACAGG